GUGUCAGCAGCCGCGGUAAUACGUAGGCAGCAAGCGUUGUUCGGAGUUACUGGGCGUAAAGAGUGUGUAGGCGGUUUGCCAAGUUCGGUGUGAAAUCUCCCGGCUUAACUGGGAGGGUGCGCCGAAAACUGGCAGGCUCGAGUGCGGGAGAGGAGAGCGGAAUUCCUGGUGUAGCGGUGAAAUGCGUAGAGAUCAGGAGGAACACCUGCGGUGUAGACGGCUCUCUGGACCGCAACUGACGCUGAGACACGAAAGCGUGGGUAGCAAACAGGAUUAGAUACCCUGGUAGUCCACGCCCUAAACGAUGCACACUUGGUGUGGGCAGUUCAUUCUGUCCGUGCCGUAGUUAACGCGUUAAGUGUGCCGCCUGGGGAGUACGGUCGCAAGGCUGAA
rnacentral:rRNA from 1 species